AUGAACGCUAGCGGCAGGCUUAACACAUGCAAGUCGAGGGGCAGCAUGAAGGUUAGCAAUACCUUGAUGGCGACCGGCGCAAGGGUGCGUAACGCGUGAGCAACUUGCCGUUUCAGGGGGAUAACCGGUGGAAACGCCGACUAAUACCCCAUAGUACAAUCUUAAGGCAUCUUUUGGUUGUUAAAGAAAUUCGGAAAACGGAUAGGCUCGCGUGACAUUAGCUAGAUGGCGGGGUAACGGCCCACCAUGGCGACGAUGUCUAGGGGUUCUGAGAGGAAGGUCCCCCACACUGGAACUGAGACACGGUCCAGACUCCUACGGGAGGCAGCAGUGAGGAAUAUUGGUCAAUGGUCUGACGACUGAACCAGCCAUGCCGCGUGAAGGUGACGGCCCUAUGGGUCUUAAACUUCUUUUGUUAGGGAGCAAUAAGGUCUACGUGUAGACUGAUGAGAGUACCUAACGAAUAAGCAUCGGCUAACUCCGUG
rnacentral:rRNA from 1 species